GACGAACCGUCCAAACGUUAUUCGGAAUUACUGGGCUUACAGAGUUCGUAGGCGGUUCUACAAGUGAGGUGUGAAAGCCCUCGGCUCAACCGAGGAACUGCGCUUCAAACUGUAGAACUAGAGGGAGAUAGAGGUGAGCAGAACUGAUGGUGGAGCGGUGAAAUGCGUUGAUAUCAUCAGGAAUACCGGAGGCGAAGGCGGCUCACUGGGUCUCUUCUGACGCUGAGGAACGAAAGCUAGGGGAGCAAACGGG
rnacentral:rRNA from 1 species